rnacentral:lncRNA from 1 species
UCGGCAGGAUGUCGCAUCCUGGGCCUACGUAGUUCGGGGAAAUGGGAAACAUGCUCGCUAGGAUAUCACAUCCUAUGCAUACUUAUCUUCUCUAACCAGAGAAAGAAUCAGAGCACUCGUAGCUCGGCUAACGCACGCCGAAACAAAACGCUGAAAAGACGCUGAGAUGCCAAAGCAAACACACACCAGGAAACGGAAUGCCAAUAGCUGGUCUUACAUCCAACUCCAAACAAACAAACGCAAACAGGAA